rnacentral:rRNA from 1 species
CCUACGGGUGGCAGCAGUGAGGAAUAUUGGUCAAUGGCCGGAAGGCUGAACCAGCCAAGUCGCGUGAGGGAAUAAGGCCCUAUGGGUUGUAAACCUCUUUUGUCCGGGAGCAAAGGCGUCCACGUGUGGAUGUGAGGAGAGUACCCGAAGAUAAAGCAUCGGCAAAUCCCGUCCCAGCAGCCGCGGAAGUAGGGAGGAUGCGAGGGUUACCGGGUUUUAUUGGGUUAAAGGGGUGCGAGGGCGGUGUGUCAAGUUAGCGGGAAAAUUUGGGGUGAAAACCCGGGCGUGCGGGGGGAACUGGAGACCUUGAGUGAGCGGAAGGCAGGCGGAAUGCGUGGUGUAGCGGUGAAAUGCAUAGAUAUCACGCAGAACGCCGAUUGCGAAGGCAGCCUGCCGCAGCGCUACUGACGCUGAAGCACGAAAGUGCGGGUAUCGAACAGGAUUAGAUACCCCAGUAGUC